ACAAUGUCAGGAGUACAGUGCAGUGUAUAGUGGAGGAGCAGUACAAUGUCAGGAGUACAGUGCAGUGUAUAGUGGAGGAGGAGUACAGUGCAGUCUAUAGUGGAGGAGCAGUACAAUGUCAGGAGUACAGUGCAGUGUAUAGUGGAGGAGCAAUACAAUGUCAGGAGUGCAGUGCAGUGUAUAGUGGAGGAGCAGUACAAUGUCAGGAGUGCAGUGCAGUGUAUAGUGGAGGAGCAGUACAAUGUCAGGAGUACAGUGCAGUGUAUAGUGGAGGAGCAGUACAAUGUCAGGAGUACAGUGCAGUGUAUAAAGGAGAAGCAGUACAAUGUCAGGAGUACAGUGCAGUGUAUAGUGGAGGAGCAGUACAAUGUCAGGAGUACAGUGCAGUAUAUACAGGAGGAGCAGUACAAUGUCAGGAGUACAGUGCAGUCUAUAGUGGAGGAGCAGUACAAUGUCAGGAGUGCAGUGCAGUGUAUAGUGGAGGAGCAGUAUAAUGUCAGGAGUACAGUGCAGUAUAU